rnacentral:lncRNA from 1 species
GGAAAAAAAGAAAUAAAAAAAAAAAACAAAAAAACUAAACCAGUCUAGUUCCACUGCUGAGAAAGAAAUCACCCCACAGCAUUUCUGGGAUCAGCAGGAAGGAAAAGCGGUGUCAUUUUACAUUUCCAGAACCAUUUAACAUUUCAUAGGUGAAUUCCAAAGCCUGUGAUUACAAAGUGUGAAACUCACAUUAAAAUUCCCACGAAAUCAACAGAAUGUACAUGUAUAACCAUCGUUUAAAGGUUUAAAGGCCAUUCUCCCUUGUUCACAGAGUGACCAUAGUACCAGAGAAUAGCUUUCUUCUUUGUACCGAACAGACCUGAGUCACUUUCUAUCCUUGGUUAACUCAUCCUACUUGGGAAAUGAGAAGUGGUUUGUCAUUCAAGUUCACCCUUGACAUCAUAACCUCUUUUGAACUGGCCUGGAGCAAAUUGUCUUCUGGGAGCAACAGGAUACCGAGCUUGGGCUGGCCUCAGAUGAAGGGAGGAGAGUGCCUGGAGAGACUGUGUCCUUUUGCUUCCAAAUCUAAACAAAGAAGGUCAGAGAAGAGGCUCAAAUGGAAGCAGCGACCAGAACACGGGAGACUGACUUCUCUGGAGAACUCUGCUAGCUUCCCACGUCCCUUCAGGAGAUCCUUGCCAUGCCCAAUGACUCGCUGUUAUGAGGAUGAAGAUGAAUGGUCUGGAAUCCUCCAGUUCAUCUCAUAUACUGGCUGGAUUCAGUACUCUUCCCACGUCUCCCAAUUGAAACCCUGGAAGGCCAGACACAGAUUUUCAAUUACAACAAUAUCAGGAGAUUUACAAGAUCAAGUGAGAAACGUCUGCAAAAAGCCUGGCUCAUGGAAGAUGUUCAUUCCAGCAAAAAUAGGUAGUGCCGUUUACUGUUUGUCCUUCUAGCUGGAGUGUCCUUUACCAACCCGGAAAUUCAAGACUGACUCACAAUGGCUAUACCUGACUCUAGAGCAAAGGCCUCUGGCUGAACUUUUGUCUCUUCCAUGUAUUACUAUGGGAUUGCAGGCAGGUAAUAUCAUCUGCUUUUGAUAGAUUUUAUUUGCAGACCAAGAAGAAUUAUUAAACUCCAGCCUGCAAGUCUAUAACCAUCUGCAUAAUACUCUACUCUGUCUAUCAAAG